rnacentral:rRNA from 1 species
GAGUUUGAUCCUGGCUCAGAACGAACGCUGGCGGCAGGCCUAACACAUGCAAGUCGAGCGCGAAAACACUUCUUUGUGAGUAAAGCGGCAGACGGGUGAGUAAUGCUUGGCGAAUCUGCCCAAAAGUCGGGGGAUAACGUGGGGAAACGCACGCAAAUACCGUAUACGUCCUACGGGAGAAAGCAGGUGAUCUUCCGACCUUGCGCUAUUGGAUGAGCCCAAGUCAGAUUAUCUAGUUGGUGGGGUAAUGGCCUAACUUGGCAACAAUACCUACCUGGUCUGAAAUGAUGAUCAGCCACACUGGGACUGAGACACGGCCCAGACUCCUACUGGAGGCAGCAGUGGAGAAUAUUGCACAAUGGGCGAAAGCCUGAUGCAGGCCUGCCGCGUGUGUGAAUAAUGCUCUAGGGUAUGAAAAGCACUUUCACUAGGGAGGAAAAGCUUAGGGUUAAUAACCUUGAGCCCUGACGUUACCUACAGAACAAGCACCGGCUAACUCCGUGCUCGGCAUCCGCGAGUAAUACAGAUGGUGCAAGCGUUAAUCGGAAUUAUCUGGGCAGUAAAGCUCGCGUACGUGGCUUGAUAAUCUAUCUGCGAAAGCCCCGGGCAUCACCUGGAAACUGCAGUUAGAACUGUCUGACUAGAGUACAGUAGAGGUGGCGGAAUUACAUGUGAAUCGGUGAAAUGCGUAGAUAUAUGAAGGAUCAUCAGUAGCGAAGGCGGCCACAUGGCAUGAUUCUGACACUGAGGUGCCAAAGUGUGACGAGCAAACAGGAUUAGAUACCGUGGUAGUCCACUCCGUAAACGAUGUCUACUAGCCGUUGGGGGACUUGAUCCUUUAGUGGCGAAGCUAACGCGAUAAGUAGACCGCCUGGGGAGUACGGUAGCAAGAUUAAAACUCAAAUGAAUUGACGGGGGCCCGCACAAGCGGUGGAGCAUGUGGUUUAAUUCGACGCAACGCGAAAAACCUUACGUGGUCUUGACAUCCUGCGAACUUUCUAGAGAUAGAUUGGUGCUUUCGGGAACGCAGUGACAGGUGCUGCAUGCCGGUCGUCAGCUCGUGUCGUGAGAUGUUGGGUUAAGUCCCGUAACGAGCGCAACCCUUGUCCUUAUUCGUCAGCACAUAAUGGUGGGAACUAUAAGGAGACUGCCGGUGACAAACCGGAGGAAGGUGGGGACGACGUCAAGUCAUCAUGGCCUCUUAUGACCACGGCUACACACGUGCUACAAUGGAGCGUCCAGAGGGUUGCUAACCCGCGAGGUGGAGCCAAUCCCAGAAAACGUUUGGUAGUCCGGAUCGAAGUCUGCAACUCUACUUCGUGAAGUCGGAAUCGCUAGUAAUCGCGAAUCAUCAUGUCGCGGUGAAUCCGUUCCCGGGCUUUGUACACUCCGCUCCGUCACACCAUGGGAGUGGGUUGCAAAAGAAUGUGGCUAGUCUACCCUUCGGGAGGCCGGUUACCACUUUGUGAUUUAUGACUGGGGUGAAGUCGUAACAAGGUAACC